AUUGUGUUGUUAUGUCUGUACC
rnacentral:siRNA from 1 species